GCCAGGGGAGCUUGGGUGCAUGUGUGAUGGUGUUGCGAUUUUUGUUGUUGGUAUUCCACAUCAGAAUAUCAGAUCCAUCUGCUAUUUCCCUACUCAUCCUACUCAUCCUCCUCUCCCCCUCCUGGACCACAUGGCUUGCAAGUGCCUUGCCUCAUUAGUCACAGGCCGGGGCUGGGGGGCCAGCCAUGCCACACCACAAAAGCUGUUGCAUUUGAGCAUCUUCUCGCUUCCUGAGCUUCUUCCCUGCUACUGCUUAGG